rnacentral:rRNA from 1 species
AUUGAACGCUGGCGGCAGGCCUAACACAUGCAAGUCGAACGGUAGCACAGAGAGCUUGCUCUCGGGUGACGAGUGGCGGACGGGUGAGUAAUGUCUGGGAAACUGCCCGAUGGAGGGGGAUAACUACUGGAAACGGUAGCUAAUACCGCAUAACGUCGCAAGACCAAAGUGGGGGACCUUCGGGCCUCACACCAUCGGAUGUACCCAGAUGGGAUUAGCUAGUAGGUGGGGUAAUGGCUCACCUAGGCGACGAUCCCUAGCUGGUCUGAGAGGAUGACCAGCCACACUGGAACUGAGACACGGUCCAGACUCCUACGGGAGGCAGCAGUGGGGAAUAUUGCACAAUGGGCGCAAGCCUGAUGCAGCCAUGCCGCGUGUAUGAAGAAGGCCUUCGGGUUGUAAAGUGCUUUCAGCGGGGAGGAAGGCGGUGAAGUUAAUAACUUCACCGAUUGACGUUACCCGCAGAAGAAGCACCGGCUAACUCCGUGCCAGCCGCCGCCGUAA